rnacentral:rRNA from 1 species
AUUGAACGCUGGCGGCAGGCCUAACACAUGCAAGUCGAACGAGUGGCGGACGGGUGAGUAAUGUAUGGGAAACUAGCUUAUGGAGGGGGAUAACUACGGGAAACGGUAGCUAAUACCGCGUACCAUAGGAUGAGCCCAAGUGGGAUUAGGUAGUUGGUGGGGUAAAGGCUCACCAAGCCGACGAUCCCUAGCUGGUCUGAGAGGAUGACCAGCCACACGGGAACUGAGCCCCGGCCCAGACUCCUACGGGAGGCAGCAGUGGGGAAUAUUGCGCAAUGGGGGCAACCUGACGCAGCCAUGCCGCGUGGAUGAAGAAGGCCUUCGGGUUGUAAAGUUCUUUCGGUGGCGAGGCGUUAACUGCAGAAGAAGCACCGGCUAACUCCGUGCCAGCAGCCGCGGUAAUUC